GCAGAGUCGGACAGAUUUUAGAAAAUCGCUAGGGUACCAUCCUGCAGAAGAUGGUGUUUGGGCAGAGUCGGACAGAUUUUAGAAAAGCGCUAGAGUACCAUCCUGCAGAAGACGACGAACAAAUUAGCACUGCUACAUUUUACUAGAAUAUGAUAGAGGAGUUAUACUGUUAUUCUCCCCUUUGCUUUUUCGCUGAAGCUCGUUUACAGACAACACUUCCCCUGGAACUGGAUCACGAUCACGAAAGAUAAAACCCGAAGGAUAAGAUUUUCAACAGAACCAAGAGCGGUACCCAAAUCAACGAUGUGGUUUGCAAGGGAAGAAGUGGUCAAAUAUCCUGUUCAAACUAAACAGAAUUCUCGUCAGAUCCGGUAAAUUUAUAAUGAUUUGAUAAAAUUAUCGAUGCAAAUGACAAUCUUUUAGAUUACAAAAUCAGUCAAGCAAUCUUAACCAUAUUGUUGCAGAUUUUGAACUAUACCGCCGCAACCACAUAUGUUUGUUUGUUUGUUUAUAGAACCCGUCCCCAAUCUCGUAUCGGAAAAUGACUAAACUCAGGUCUGAGUGUGAAUACGGGUGGUACCUGCAAGAGUGU